rnacentral:rRNA from 1 species
AGUCAGCGCAGGCAGACCCGAAACCGGGUGACCUAUCCAUGUCCAGGUUGAAGCUUCCGUAAGAGGAAGUGGAGGACCGAACCCACAUCCGUUGAAAAGGGUGGGGAUGAGGUGUGGAUAGCGGAGAAAUUCCAAUCGAACCCGGAGAUAGCUGGUUCUCCCCGAAAUAGCUUUAGGGCUAGCGUCGAGGUAAGUUGCGUGAAGGUAGAGCACUGAAUAUGUGAUGGCCCCAUCUCGGGGUACUGAGCAUAAUCAAACUGCGAAUGUCACGCCAACAUGCUCGGCAGUCAGACAGCGGGUGAUAAGGUCCGUUGUCAAGAGGGAAACAGCCCAGACCAUCAGCUAAGGUCCCAAAAUGUAUGCUAAGUGGAAAAGGAUGUGGAGAUGUACAGACAACUAGGAGGUUGGCUCAGAAGCAGCCAUCCUUUAAAGAGUGCGUAACAGCUCACUAGUCGAAUGACUCUGCGCCGAUAAUUUACCGGGGCUAAGCAUACUACCGAAGCUAUGGAUCCCAAGGGAUGGUAGGGGAGCGUUCCAUGAACGGAGAAGUACGACCGAAAGGACGUGUGGAGAUCAUGGAAGAGAGAAUGCCGGUGUGAGUAGCGGAACGUGGGUGAGAAUCCCACGCACCGAAAACCCAAGGUUUCCAGAGGAAGGUUCGUCCGCUCUGGGUAAGUCGGGACCUAAGGCGAGGCCGAAAGGCGUAGUCGAUGGACAACAGGUAGAGAUUCCUGUACCCGUAUAUAUGUGAAGGAAUGACGGAGAGAGGAAGCUGCAGCCAGCGGCUGGAAGAGCUGGUGCAAGCGAGAUAUCGGGAUGGCAGGCAAAUCCACCAUCCGAAACGAGAAGGCGUGAAGCGUACGGAAAGCUACGGCGAGUACGGAAGGCAGUGGAGGAACUUCCAAGAAAAGUUUCUAACGUUAAGUAUAUAUGGCCCGUACCGAAAAUGGACACACAUGGGUGAGGAGAGAAUCCUAAGGUGAGCGAGAGAACUAUAGCUAAGGAACUCUGCAAAAUGACUCCGUAACUUAGGGAGAAGGAGUGCUCAUAGAGAUAUGAGCCGCAGUGAAACGGCCCAAGCGACUGUUUACCAAAAACACAGCUCUCUGCUAAGCCGCAAGGCGAAGUAUAGGGGGUGACGCCUGCCCGGUGCUGGAAGGUUAAGGGGAGGGGUUAACGCAAGUGAAGCCCUGAACUGAAGCCCCAGUAAACGGCGGCCGUAACUAUAACGGUCCUAAGGUAGCGAAAUUCCUUGUCAGGUAAGUUCUGACCCGCACGAAAGGCGUAACGAUUUGGGCGCUGUCUCAGCUGUAGACUCGGUGAAGUCUUAGUACCUGUGAAGAUGCAGGUUACCCGCGACUAGACGGAAAGACCCCAUGGAGCUUCACUGCAGGUUGAUAUUGGGAUUUGAUGCAGCAUGUACAGGAUAGGUAGGAGGCAAAGAGAUGGAUACGCCAGUAUUCAAGGAGCCGCUGUUGGGAUACUACCCCUGUUGUAUUGGAUUUCUAACCGGACGACGUAGAGCCGUUGACGGGACAGUGUCAGUCGGGCAGUUUGACUGGGGCGGUCGCCUCCCAAAGAGUAACGGAGGCGCCCAAAGAUACCCUCAGCUUGGAUGGAAACCAAGCGCAGAGUGCAAAGGCAAAAGGGUGUUUGACUGCGAGACCCACAAGUCGAGCAGGGACGAAAGUCGGGCUUAGUGAUCCGGCGGUGCUGAAUGGAAAGGCCGUCGCUCAACGGAUAAAAGCUACCCUGGGGAUAACAGGCUGAUCUCCCCCAAGAGUCCACAUCGACGGGGAGGUUUGGCACCUCGAUGUCGGCUCAUCGCAUCCUGGGGCUGAAGUAGGUCCCAAGGGUUGGGCUGUUCGCCCAUUAAAGCGGUACGCGAGCUGGGUUCAGAACGUCGUGAGACAGUUCGGUCCCUAUCCGUUGUGGGCGCAGGAAAUUUGAGAGGAGCUGUCCUUAGUACGAGAGGACCGGGAUGGACGUACCUCUGGUGUACCGGUUGCAGACCAACUGCACAGCCGGGUAGCUAUGUAUGGAACGGAUAAACGCUGAAGGCAUCUAAGCGUGAAGCCGCCCUCAAGAUAAGAUUUCCCAUUCU